rnacentral:rRNA from 1 species
AUUGAACGCUGGCGGCAGGCUUAACACAUGCAAGUCGAGCGGAGACUUCGGUCUUAGCGGCGAACGGGUGAGUAAUACCUAGGAAUCUGCCUAUUAGUGGGGGAUAACGAAUCGAAAGGUUCGCUAAUACCGCAUACGUCCUACGGGAGAAAGGGGGGGAUCUUUGGACCUCUCGCUAAUAGAUGAGCCUAGGCCGGAUUAGCUAGUUGGUAGGGUAAAGGCCUACCAAGGCGACGAUCUGUAGCUGGUCUGAGAGGAUGGCCAGCCACACUGGAACUGAGACACGGUCCAGACUCCUACGGGAGGCAGCAGUGGGGAAUAUUGGACAAUGGGGGCAACCCUGAUCCAGCCAUGCCGCGUGUGUGAAGAAGGGCCCUUCGGUUGGUAAAGUACGACUUUAAGACGACGGAGGAAGGG